rnacentral:pre_miRNA from 1 species
AAGGUACUCCCUCCGUCCGGAAAUACUCGUCAUCAAAAUGGAUAAAAGGGGAUGUAUCUAGAUAUAUUUUAGUUUUAGAUACAUCUCUUUUUAUCCAUUUUGAUGACAAGUAUUUCCGGACGGAGGGAGUAGUUA